AGUGAACGCUGGCGGUAGGCCUAACACAUGCAAGUCGAACGGCAGCACAGUAAGAGCUUGCUCUUACGGGUGGCGAGUGGCGGACGGGUGAGGAAUACAUCGGAAUCUACUUUUUCGUGGGGGAUAACGUAGGGAAACUUACGCUAAUACCGCAUACGACCUACGGGUGAAAGCAGGGGAUCUUCGGACCUUGCGCGAUUGAAUGAGCCGAUGUCGGAUUAGCUAGUUGGCGGGGUAAAGGCCCACCAAGGCGACGAUCCGUAGCUGGUCUGAGAGGAUGAUCAGCCACAGUGGAACUGAGAGACGGUCCAGACUCCUACGGGAGGCAGCAGUGGGGAAUAUUGGACAAUGGGCGCAAGCCUGAUCCAGCCAUACCGCGUGGGUGAAGAAGGCCUUCGGGUGGGAAAGCCCUUUUGUUGGGAAAGAAAAGCAGCAGGUUAAUACCCCGCUGUUCUGACGGUACCCAAAGAAUAAGCACCGGCUAACUGCGU
rnacentral:rRNA from 1 species